rnacentral:tRNA from 1 species
GCCGGGUUAGCUCAGUUGGUUAGAGUGUGGUGCUAAUAAUACCAAGGUCACAGGUUCAAUCCCUGCUCACUGCA